CCUACGGGAGGCAGCAGUGGGGAAUAUUGGACAAUGGGGGCAACCCUGAUCCAGCCAUGCCGCGUGAGUGAUGAAGGCCUUCGGGUUGUAAAGCUCUUUUGGCGGGGACGAUGAUGACGGUACCCGCAGAAUAAGCCCCGGCUAACUUCGUGCCAGCAGCCGCGGUAAGACGAAGGGGGCUAGCGUUGUUCGGAAUUACUGGGCGUAAAGCGCGUGUAGGCGGUUUGCCAAGUCGGGUGUGAAAGCCUUGGGCUUAACCCAAGAAAUGCACUCGGUACUGGCAGACUAGAGGACCGGAGAGGAUAGUGGAAUUCCCAGUGUAGUGGUGAAAUACGUAGAGAUUGGGAAGAACACCAGUGGCGAAGGCGGCUAUCUGGACGGUUUCUGACGCUAAGACGCGAAAGCGUGGGGAGCAAACAGGAUUAGAUACCCUGGUAGUCCACGCCGUAAACGAUGGGUGCUAGACGUUGGCGAGCUUGCUCGUCAGUGUCGCAGCUAACGCGUUAAGCACCCCGCCUGGGGAGUACGGCCGCAAGGUUGAAACUCAAAUAAUUGACGG
rnacentral:rRNA from 1 species